rnacentral:lncRNA from 1 species
AUAGCGCCAUUACUGCAUGCCACUAAUUGGCAUCUUUAAACAUUUUAGUAGCAGUUGAUUUUUAAUAUGUUUUCCUUUGGUCCUUUCUACAGCUCUUACUCAGAGAGGAAAUCUGAUCUACGAUAGCACGGAAACAUCAGCAGUGACCAUGGCAAGGGAAAUUCCUUAGGGAGCUGCCUGUAAGUCUGAUCAACACUUAAGAUGAAACGUGUUGCAUAUUCUUUGACAGGAUGUUACAUGCAGAGUUUAGCUAUAUAAGGCAAUUUCUGAGGCAAUAAGGGAAUAUUCAGGAACACAACUUUCUGCUGUGAACAGAUUUUGAAGCCAAGAAGUGUUCAUGAUAUGAUCAAGCUGGCUUGCAGAGAACAAGAACUCUCUUUU